ensembl:lncRNA
CCACACCUUAAUCCCAGCACUCGCGAGGCAAGUGUUCUACAUACCGCUGGGUAUGGUGAAAGAAGGAAAGUCAAGGCACGGACCUACUGUGGGUCAUGUGGUAGACACACGGUUAAAAGUCUCUGCUAUUGAAUCUGACCUAUCCCCUCAGGCUCCUGUUUUAACCUUGGCUCCCUGCUUCUGGCACUGUUUUGAAGGCUUGGGCUGAGCUGCCUUAAAGUUUACUCCUGCCUCUGGUUCUCCUUGCUUUCUCUAAUUCUGUAUUGCUACCGUGUAAGCCGUCCUCCACUCCAUGCUUCUCCCUGCCACAGACAGCUGCCAUGAAUUCUGCCAUGCCUUCCCUGUGUGAGAGACUGAAACAAGAGCCAAAAUAGAUAUUUCUUCCUUUAAGCUGCUUCUGUUGGGGCAUUUUGCUCACAGCAGCACAAAAGAAGCUAGUACGGUCUUUAACACUUCUGCCAUGAGAGAGGCUCCAACCUUUCUGGCUCCCUCAAAUCUAGAUUGGCUUUUAUGAUUUGCCUGGCCAGCAGAUUUUAAAGGAUGUCACAGUCUGGGGUUCCUGUGUCACGAGAAGCCUUGACGCUUCUUUACAACUGUCUCAGAGCACUUGCUCUGGGGAAAGCCAGGUGCCAUCAGAGAAUUCCACGUCUCUGAAGUUGCCAUACUGGAAGGUAGCUGGGCUCCAACCUUUCUAGUCCACAGCCAUUCACUUGGGUACCAGAUAAGAAGCCAAGAAAAGGAGUCCCUGUGAUACACAGCUACUAGUUUAUGAGCAUAAUAAGUAGGAGUACUAGUUUAAGCCAGAAAGUUGGGGAAUGGCUGAUUACACGAUAGAAAACUGUAACGCAUCCUGUAACUCACUCUCGACAAGGACAAGAAGUCUAGUGAUGUAGACCCAAUUAAGAAUUCAUCAAGGGGGACUGGAGAGAUGGCUCAGUGGUUAAGAGCACCAACUGCUCUUCCUGAGGUCCUGAGUUCAAAUCCCAGCAACCACAUGGUGGCUCACAACCAUCUGUAAUGAGAUCUGAUGCCCUCUUCUGGUGUGUCUGAAGACAGCUACAGUGUACUCAUAUAUAAUAAAUAAAUAAAAUAUUAAAAAAAAAAAGAAUUCAUCAAGGAAGGGCUGGUGAGACUUGGUGCGGUAGUACCUGACUUCAGUCCCAGCACUGGAGGGCAGAGGCAGAUGGAUCUUUGUGAGGCCAGCCUGGUCUACAUAGUGAGUUCCAGGACAAAUCAGAGAUGUAUAAUAGAGAGACCCUAUUAAAAAGAUUUUUUUAAUUAAAAAAAAAAACAAUAGAGUUGGUGAGAUAGCUCAGUGGGUAGAUACUUGCUGUGUAAAUCUGACAACUUAAAUUCAACCCCAGAAACCCGUAGAAGGAGAGAACUGACCCCACAACAUUGUCUUCA